rnacentral:snoRNA from 1 species
AUCCUGUGACGACAUCCACUGGGAGCCGUCCUGCUGGCCACUGACGCUCUGGGAUGGAACCGAGGAUCAGGGC